AGAGUUUGAUCAUGGCUCAGAACGAACGCUGGCGGCAGGCUUAACACAUGCAAGUCGAACGCACCUUCGGGUGAGUGGCAGACGGGUGAGUAACGCGUGGGAACGUGCCCUUCAGUUCGGAAUAACCCAGGGAAACUUGGGCUAAUACCGGAUACGUGCGAGAGCAGAAAGAUUUAUCGCUGAAGGAUCGGCCCGCGUCUGAUUAGCUAGUUGGUGGGGUAAUGGCCCACCAAGGCGACGAUCAGUAGCUGGUCUGAGAGGAUGAUCAGCCACAUUGGGACUGAGACACGGCCCAAACUCCUACGGGAGGCAGCAGUGGGGAAUAUUGGACAAUGGGCGCNGCCCUGAUCCCAGCCCAUGCCGCGUGAGUGAUGAAGGCCUUAGGGGUUGUAAAGCUCUUUCGGCGGGGACGAUAAUGACGGUACCCGCAGAAGAAGCCCCGGCUAACUUCGUGCCAGCAGCCGCGGUAAUACGAAGGGGGGCUAGCGUUGUUCGGAAUCACUGGGCGUAAAGGGCGCGUAGGCGGCUUGAUAAGUCGGGGGUGAAAGCCUGUGGCUCAACCACAGAAUUGCCUUCGAUACUGUCUGGCUUGAGACCGGAAGAGGUAAGUGGAACUGCGAGUGUAGAGGUGAAAUUCGUAGAUAUUCGCAAGAACACCAGUGGCGAAGGCGGCUUACUGGUCCGGUUCUGACGCUGAGGCGCGAAAGCGUGGGGAGCAAACAGGAUUAGAUACCCUAGUAGUCC
rnacentral:rRNA from 1 species